GGGCUGCAAGGAAAUCUGGCGCGGUUCAAUACCUCGUCUAGCCUGGGUUCCAGUAUCUAAUUUUUUUUUUGUUUUAACUGACAAACUCAUUUCUCUACUGGGACAGGAUGCUGUGCUGGCUGGAAGUUCCAUUUCUACAGCAAGAAUCCUAUCUGGAAACACAGAAGUUGUCCUCUAGCCACAGCAGCUCGAACUUUUUUGAUUGUCGUUGCUGCUUUCUCCCAUCACCCCCAUCCCCUUUUGACAAAGAUCCAACUGUAAAAAGUCUUACGUAACAGUUCAGGACUACUUCGGUUCUUUUACUGGAUGCAGAAUCUACCUACAUUCGGCUGAAAAUCAGAUGGAAGAAUCCACAGAGGAAAGGAAGGAAAGGCGAACUGUCCUGUGGAAAGCACAGCUGCAGGGAUAGUAGAAAGUAACAGGCUCUCGAUCCGUGGGAGGUGGUCACUUUGGAGGACAGAUAAGUCAUCCUCAGAGAACGAACACAAUGAAGGAAAUUCCAGCCUAUUCAUGUUCUCCUCUCAGGCUGUACCUCAACAAGAUCCAACUGGACUUUGUGAUCUCAUAACCUGUCAAGGGGCCUGGCAUGGAGUAGAUAAUAAAUGUUUUUUUUAAUC